GUAGGGGCCAAGCGUUAUCCGGAUUUAUUGGGGCGUAAAGAGCUCGUAGGCGGCUUAGCAAGUCGGCCGUGAAAGUCCGAGGCUCAACCUCGGGAAUGCCGGGUCGAAACUGCUAUGGCUAGGGUUCGGUAGAGGAGAGUGGAAUUCUCGGUGUAGCGGUGAAAUGCGCAGAUAUCGAGAGGAACACCAGUAGCGAAGGCGGCUCUCUGGGCCGAUACCGACGCUGAGGAGCGAAAGCGUGGGGAGCAAACAGGAUUAGAUACCCUGGUAGUCCACGCCGUAAACGGUGAUCACUAGAUGUGGCGGACUCAUUGACGUCUGCCGUGUCGCAGCUAACGCAUUAAGUGAUCCGCCUGGGGAGUACGGCCGCAAAGGCUAA
rnacentral:rRNA from 1 species